rnacentral:rRNA from 1 species
CCUACGGGUGGCAGCAGUGGGGGAUAUUGCACAAUGGGGGAAACCCUGAUGCAGCGACGCCGCGUGUGGGAAGACGGUCCUCUGGAUUGUAAACCACUGUCCCCAGGGACGAAGCUGACGGUACCUGGGGCGGAAGCUCCGGCUAACUACGUGCCAGCAGCCGCGGUAAUCCGUAGGGAGCGAGCGUUGUCCGGAAUGACUGGGUGAAAGGGGAGCGUAGGCGGGACUGCAAGUUGGGUGUCAAAUCUACCGGCUCAACCGGUAGCCGCACUCAAAACUGCAGUUCUUGAGUGAAGUAGAGGCAGGCAGAAUGCCUAGUGUAGCGGUGAAAUGCGUAGAUAUUAGGAGGAACACCAGUGGCGAAGGCGGCCUGCUGGGCUUUUACUGACGCUGAGGCUCGAAAGUGUGGGGAGCAAACAGGAUUAGAUACCCCUGUAGUC